rnacentral:miRNA from 1 species
AGAGGUUAUCCGUGAUAUGUUC